rnacentral:rRNA from 1 species
UGGGGAAUAUUGCACAAUGGGCGCAAGCCUGAUGCAGCCAUGCCGCGUGUAUGAAGAAGGCCUUCGGGUUGUAAAGUACUUUCAGCGGGGAGGAAGGUGUUGAGGCUAAUAACCUCAGCAAUUGACGUUACCCGCAGAAGAAGCACCGGCUAACUCCGUGCCAGCAGCCGCGGUAAUACGGAGGGUGCAAGCGUUAAUCGGAAUUACUGGGCGUAAAGCGCACGCAGGCGGUCUGUCAAGUCGGAUGUGAAAUCCCCGGGCUCAACCUGGGAACUGCAUUCGAAACUGGCAGGCUAGAGUCUUGUAGAGGGGGGUAGAAGUCCAGGUGUAGCGGUGAAAUGCGUAGAGAUCUGGAGGAAUACCGGUGGCGAAGGCGGCCCCCUGGACGAAGACUGAUGCUCAGGUGCGAAAGCGUGGGGAGCAAACA